AGAGUUUGAUCAUGGCUCAGAACGAACGCUGGCGGCAGGCUUAACACAUGCAAGUCGAGCGCUCAGCAAUGAGAGCGGCGCACGGGUGAGUAACACGUGGGAACAUGCCCUUUGGUUCGGAAUAACUCAGGGAAACUUGUGCUAAUACCGGAUAAGCCCUUACGGGGAAAGAUUUAUCGCCAAAGGAGUGGCCCGCGUCCGAUUAGCUAGUUGGUGAGGUAAAGGCUCACCAAGGCAACGAUCGGUAGCUGGUCUGAGAGGACGACCAGCCACACUGGGACUGAGACACGGCCCAGACUCCUACGGGAGGCAGCAGUGGGGAAUCUUGGACAAUGGGGGAAACCCUGAUCCAGCCAUGCCGCGUGAGUGAUGAAGGCCCUAGGGUUGUAAAACUCUUUCGGCGGGGACGAUAAUGACGGUACCCGCAGAAGAAGCUCCGGCUAACUUCGUGCCAGCAGCCGCGGUAAUACGAAGGGGGCUAGCGUUGUUCGGAAUUACUGGGCGUAAAGCGCGCGCAGGCGGUCCUUCAAGUCAGAGGUGAAAGCCCAGAGCUCAACUCUGGAACGGCCUUUGAGACUAGAGGACUUGGGUACGGGAGAGGUGAGUGGAAUUCCGAGUGUAGAGGUGAAAUUCGUAGAUAUUCGGAAGAACACCAGUGGCGAAGGCGGCUCACUGGCCCGUUACCGACGCUCAGGCGCGACAGCGUGGGGAGCAAACAGGAUUAGAUACCCUAGUAGUCC
rnacentral:rRNA from 1 species